UGGAGCAGUCUGGUAGCUCGUCGGGCUCAUAACCCGAAGGUCGUUGGUUCAAAUCCGGC
rnacentral:tRNA from 2 species